rnacentral:rRNA from 1 species
UGAUCUAGCCAUGCCGCGUGAGCGAUGAAGGCCUUAGGGUUGUAAAGCUCUUUCAGUGGGGAAGAUAAUGACGGUACCCACAGAAGAAGCCCCCGGCUAACUCCGUGCCAGCAGCCGCGGUAAUACGGAGGGGGCUAGCGUUGUUCGGAAUUACUGGGCGUAAAGCGCGCGUAGGUGGCCUUGUAAGUCUCGUGUGAAAGCCCUCUGCUCAACGGAGGAAGUGCACGGGAUACUGCGAGGCUGGAGUACAGAAGAGGACAGCGGAAUUCCCGGUGUAGAGGUGAAAUUCGUAGAUAUCGGGAGGAACACCAGUGGCGAAGGCGGCUGUCUGGGCUGAUACUGACACUGAGGCGCGAAAGCGUGGGAAGUAAAUAGGAUUAGAUACCCUGGUAGUCCACGCUGUAAACGAUGACGACUGGGUGUUGCGGGUAUUGACCCCCGCGGUGCCGAAGCCAACGCGUUAAGUCGUCCGCCUGGGAAGUACGGCCGCAAGGCUAAAACUCAAAGGAAUUGACGGGGGU